CAAACUGGGUCCCUCCCAUUUCCGCUUCUCCUGUGGAGGCUGCAGUUUAGCGUAGUAACGCAAAUUGUUUGGCGGGGCAACAUUCAAGUCCUACUCUCUACCGGACAGCUGACGUCCAGGGCGUUAGGGGAGGCAUUUGCUCCGCCAGAGGCUCCGUGAUAGCGGCGUUGCACACUGUUGCGGGAUUUGGCCGUGGGAUUUGCGGGUCUCAUUCCCUCCCUUGUCGGCUCUGUGGCUGCGCCUGGCUGCACCGGGUGGGGUGUUCUAACUAUUCUCGCUCCCCACCUUUGGCCAUCAUUCCCGUCCCGUGCUGCUGUUUUGGCUCUCUGUGAGUUUUGGGCUCUCUGUGAGCUUCGCUCCUUGCUGUGGACAGGCCCAGACUGCUUGCUCUGGCCUGUUGCUGGAGCCGUUCUUGGUGUCAGGGAAUGGUCCUAAUACACGACUAUAAGGACAUGUAUUAUUAAAUUUGUGUAUUCCUUGCCGUCCUUUACAUUUACUUUAAUUUGAUUUAAUUUGUGUAUUCCUUGCUGUCCUUUACAUUUACUUUAAUUUGAUUUAAUUUGUUUAUUCCUUGCAGUCCUUUACAUUUGCUUUAAUUUGUUGUUUCCAUUAAUUCAGAUUUGGUGUAUUUUGUUGUUUUCUUUAGUUUAUCCUUUUGUCAGAAUUAUAACCUUUUAUCCUAUGCCGGACAGGUGCUGUGGGCCUGAGGCGGCAGACUCCCUGGUGGUGGCAGUGGUUUUCUUCACAGGUGGCGCUCCCUCCUCAGUCAACAGAUGAAAUGCGGCGUGAACGCUCCUGCUGUGUUGACAGAGCUGUCGACAAAGACACAAGGCCUGGGCAGACACCCAACAUAUGGCUAAAUGCCCUGUCAUGCUGGCAGUGAUAUGCUUAACACAUGCAUGCAUAAGAUACACAGAUACAUCCACCCCACACACUGAAUGCUUGAAGUCUCCCCAUUUUGGAUUAGGGCACAAGAAGACAUGAACCAUUGUGUAAUUGGCCUGGGAAGAAGCGUUGGACAAAACAGGAAGCACAAAGUUCUGAGGCUGUUCAUUGAUGCACAAAAAAAGAAUUAGGCGAACAUUUUAGUAAAUUGUGCUGUCAAUUUAGCAUAAACUAUAAGCAUUAAACGCUGGCUGUAAAUUAUAUUGGGCGCAGAAAUCA